rnacentral:rRNA from 1 species
AGUGAACGCUGGCGGCGUGCCUAACACAUGCAAGUCGAACGAGAACGGGAUUUAGUUUACUAAAUUUGUCAGCUAAGUGGCGCACGGGUGAGUAAUAUAUAGUUAAUCUGCCUCAAAGAAGGGAAUAAUUGUUGGAAACGACUUGUAACUCCCUAUAUGCCUUUAUCACAUAAGUGAGCAAGGGAAACAUUUAUGGCUUUGAGAUGAGACUGUACAGUAUCAGUUAGUUGGUGAGGUAAUGGCUCACCAAGACAAUGACGCUUAACUGGUUUGAGAGGAUGAUCAGUCACACUGGAACUGAGACACGGUCCAGACUCCUACGGGAGGCAGCAGUGGGGAAUAUUGCACAAUGGAGGAAACUCUGAUGCAGCAACGCCGCGUGGAGGAUGACACAUUUCGGUGCGUAAACUCCUUUUAUAUGAGAAGAUAAUGACGGUAUCAUAUGAAUAAGCACCGGCUAACUCCGUGCCAG